rnacentral:tRNA from 1 species
GGGAUUGUGGCUCAGUGGUACAGUACUCGCCUGACAUGCAUGAGGUCCUGGGUUCGAACCUCAGCACCA